ACAGCUAUAUCACAUUGAAACACUGGUUCUCAUAUGAUCACUGGAGUUAAGCAAUGCUGAUCCUGGUCAGUAUCUAGAUGGGUGACCACUUGGAAUACCUGGUGCUGUAA